UACAGAGGGUGCAAGCGUUGUUCGGAAUUAUUGGGCGUAAAGGGAGUGUAGGCGGCUAGGUAAGUCUUCUGUGAAAUCUACGAGCUCAGCCUGUAACGUGCAGAGGAAACUAUCUGGCUAGAGUGUCGAAGAGGAUAGGGGAAUACCCAGUGUAGAGGUGAAAUUCGUAGAGAUUGGGUGGAACACCAGUGGCGAAGGCGCCUGUCUGGCUGACAACUGACGCUGAGACUCGAAAGCGUGGGGAGCAAACAGG
rnacentral:rRNA from 1 species